CCCGCAUCAACCGCGAGCAGGGCGUCUCGAUGCUGCUGGUGGAGCAGAACGCGGCGGUCGCCUUCGCGGUCUCGACCUAUGGAUACAUCAUGGAGUCGGGAAAGAUCGUGACCGACGGGCCGACAGAACAAUUGAUCCGCGAUCAGGAUGUCCGCGAAUUCUAUCUGGGCGUCGGCGCGGCCAAUGCUGAGACAAAAGGCUU
rnacentral:misc_RNA from 1 species